UACGUAGGGUGCGAGCGUUUGUCCGGAAUUAUUGGGCGUAAAGAGCUUGUAGGCGGUUUGUCGCGUCUGCCGUGAAAAUUCGAGGCUCAACCUCGAACUUGCGGUGGGUACGGGCAGACUAGAGUGUGGUAGGGGAGACUGGAAUUCCUGGUGUAGCGGUGAAAUGCGCAGAUAUCAGGAGGAACACCGAUGGCGAAGGCAGGUCUCUGGGCCACUACUGACGCUGAGAAGCGAAAGCAUGGGGAGCGAACAGG
rnacentral:rRNA from 1 species